rnacentral:lncRNA from 1 species
AUUACCAUCACAAAUGACAAGGGCAGACUCUCAAAGGAGGAGAUCGAGAAGAUGGUUCAGGAAGCAGAGAAGUACAAAUCUGAGGAUGAGGAGCACAAGAAGAAGGUUGAGGCAAAGAAUGCUUUGGAGAACUAUGCAUACAAUAUGAGGAACACAGUGAAGGAUGAGAAGAUUGCGUCCAAGCUGUCCGCUGAUGACAAGACGAAGAUUGAGGAUGCCAUUGAGCAAGCCAUCCAAUGGCUCGAUGGUAACCAGCUUGCUGAGGCUGAUGAGUUUGAGGACAAAAUGAAGGAGAUCGAGAGUCUUUGCAACCCAAUCAUUGCAAAAAUGUACCAGGGAGCAGGUGGUGACAUGGGUGCUGGCAUGGAUGAU